rnacentral:misc_RNA from 1 species
AGCAGCCGCGGUAAUUCCAGCUCCAAUAGCGUAUAUUAAAGUUGCUGCAGUUAAAAGCUCGUAGUUGAAUUUCGGGAUCAAUAUGUUGGUCGUGCCUCGGUACGUACUAGCUUAUUGGUUUCUUCCUUCUGACGAACCAUAAUGUCAUUUAUUUGGUGUUAUGGGGAAUCAGGACUGUUACUUUGAAAAAUUAGAGUGUUUAAAGCAGGCUCACGCUUGAAUACAUUAGCAUGGAAUAAUGAAAUAGGACGUUUGAUUCUAUUUUGUUGGUUUCUAGGAUCGACGUAAUGAUUAAUAGGGAUAGUUGGGGGCAUUAGUAUUCAAUUGUCAGAGGUGAAAUUCUUGGAUUUAUUGAAGACUAACUACUGCGAAAGCAUUUGCCAAGGAUGUUUUCAUUAAUCAAGAACGAAAGUUAGGGGAUCGAAGACGAUCAGAUACCGUCGUAGUCUUAACCAUAAACUAUGCCGACUAGGGAUCGGAUGAUGUUAAUUUUUUAAUGA